UAGGGAGGGUACGAGGGGUGCUGCGUUCGGGAGAGACCUUGCACGCGGUCCCACACCGCCUAAGUUGUACAUGAAUGACUCUAAUACCCAAGGAGGGUGUCAGGCCCGUGUGGCGGUCGUUUAUAAAAAACCCCUGCGGGGGGAAUAUAAAAGGUAUGGUGACUGUGGAACGGGUCUCUCUCUAGAGUCGGGUUGCUUGAAAGCGUAACCUUAAGUAGGUGGUAAACUCCAUCUAAGGCUAAAUAUGACCACGAGACCGAUAGCGAACAAGUACCGUGAGGGAAAGUUGAAACAGAACCCUGUAGAGAGAGUUCAAGAGUACGUGAAACCGUUAAGAGGCUAAACGGGUGGAGAUUCGAAGAUCGAACUGGUGGGAUUCAGUCUAUGAUAAGGUGACAACAGGGAGAGGGCAGAGUCAAUGUGACCACGUUGGUUAGUGCGAUUUGCAAGCAUUGCGUCUUCAGGUUGACGCUUUCUUGGUGUGGCACGGCCUGUUCUACCUACCCUGCACUGACAUGUGUAAUUCCCACCGUAGUAGACCACUGCGAGGCGUUGGGAGGGCGUCUGAGGCCCGGGUUUUGGCAUGAACCAGCGUAGGUUAUGUCUUCGCGUUCGGUAACGGACGWCGAAGCGCGGUCGGUUGGUUAGCUCGCUAACCGCCGCCGCUCUACGUCUGGCUAUCAUCCCCUGGAGUGCAUUGUAUUGGUCUCUGAUCUAUCUAUUGAUGWGGAURGAUCAUCCUAAGUUAUUCCCCUCGUCUUGCUCUCCCGACGUCCCAUCCUCCUUAUAGGGGCGAUAUGCUGGCACGGGGUCUGUGGUUGUAUUAUCACGCUCACGCCAGUAAUCUUAGCUCUCGCGGUGGAAUGUAGUAUAUAAAUACAUACAUACAUCAGGAACGGUGGGGGCGCAGGCCCGGGACUCGCCAUGACGAACAGUGCGCUUAAAAUUCCUCCGAGUGCUUGGGGCAGGCUAUCGUAAGAUUGUGCUUGCUUGCUCGUUCGGUAGCUUGGGGCAAGGGUUUAAUUCGACAUAUUAUUAUGUGCUUAUACCCUUUCCCGCCUGCCUGCCCGCUCGCAAAUUGCCUGCCUGCCCGCCUCUCGGUGGAUGCCGCUGGAUGUGUCGGCGAGUACCUCGAGUGUACAUGUUGGUACCCGAAAGAUAGUGAACUAUGCCUGGCCAGGAUGAAGCCAGGGGAAACCCUGGUGGAGGUCCGCCGAGGUUCUGACGUGCAAAUCGAUCUUCAGAGCUGGGUAUAGGGGCGAAAGACCAAUCGAACUAUCUAGUAGCUGGUUCCCUUCGAAGUUUCCCUCAGGAUAGCUGGCAUUUAUAUAACCGAGUUUCAUCCGGUAAAGCGAAUGAUUAGGGGUGUUGGGGACGAAAUGUCCUCAGCCUAUUCUCAAACUUUAAAUGGGUGAGGUGCCGGGCUUGCUCUGUACGCAUGCAUGCAUGCUUGAAGCCCCGGACACGAAUCAGAGUGCUUAGUGGGCCACUUUUGGUAAGCAGAACUGGCGCUGUGGGAUGAACCUAACGUCGAGUUAAGGGGCCUAAAUUGUGCUAAUUAAGAUACCAUGGAAAGGUGUUGCUUGCUAUAGACAGUAGGACGGUGGCCAUGGAAGUUGGAAUCCGCUAAGGAGUGUGUAACAACUCACCUGCCGAAGCAAGUAACCCUAAAAAUGGCAUGGCGCUUAAGCACCUUCCCGAUACUCGACCGCCGGAGGCAAUAUAGGCACUGUCAUAAAGGAGGUCUCGAUGCCCCGGUGAGUAGGAGGAGCGCGGUGGUGAGCGUUGAAGGAUUCGGCGUGAGCCGGUCUGGAGCCGCCACUGGUGCAGAUCUUGGUGGUAGUAGCAAAUAUUCGAGCGAGAUCACCCUCGUUGACCGAAGCGGAGAAGGGUUCCGCGCCAACAUCGCUUGGUCGUGGGUAAGUCGGCCCUAAGCCCGGGGAUAGCAUCCCGAUUUACUAGGCGUUCUGGCUUUCCUGUCCCAAGUUAACUAUAUAGACUAAACUAUGAAGGUCCGCCACGAAUCAGCCACAUGGUAUAAUCGAUAAACCGCUCAUGAUAUCAUCCUACUACUAGCACUUCGCAUUCAUCCC
rnacentral:rRNA from 1 species